GGAGAGGUGACCGAGUGGUUGAAGGUGCACGCCUGGAAAGUGUGUGUGCGGGGCAACCCGCACCGUGAGUUCGAAUCUCAUCCUCUCCGCCA
rnacentral:tRNA from 3 species